rnacentral:rRNA from 1 species
AUUGAACGCUGGCGGCAUGCUUUACACAUGCAAGUCGAACGGUAACAGGCCGCAAGGUGCUGACGAGUGGCGAACGGGUGAGUAAUGCAUCGGAACGUGCCCAGUCGUGGGGGAUAACUACUCGAAAGAGUAGCUAAUACCUCAUACGAUCUAUGGAUGAAAGCGGGGGACCGUAAGGCCUCGCGCGAUUGGAGCGGCCGAUGUCAGAUUAGGUAGUUGGUGGGGUAAAGGCUCACCAAGCCAACGAUUUGUAGCUGUUCUGAGAGGACGACCAGCCACACUGGGACUGAGACACGGACCAGACUCCUACGGGAGGCAGCAGUGGGGAAUUUUGGGCAAUGGGCGCAAGCCUGACCCAGCAAUGCCGCGUGCAGGAAGAAGGCCUUCGGGUUGUAAACUGCUUUUGUACGGAACGAAAAGGCUCUGGUUAAUACCCGGGGCUCAUGACGGUACCGUAACAAUAAGCACCGGCUAACUACGUG